rnacentral:lncRNA from 1 species
CGUUGGUCUGGGGGCUGGGCUCAGCCUGCAGCAGUUGUGUCUUUCUGGCCUUGCCUCCUUCCCAUCCAGAGCAGGCCAAGGACAAGACGAGUCUAUUGGAAGCGGGGCUGAACAUGCCUGAGCUGAGCUAUGUCUCUUUGGGGACAUCCUUACUGCUCAUAACACACACCCUUUGCCCUCAGCCUUAUGCAUGGGGCUUUUGGCAAGGAGGGAAUGGAGAAGGUCGGUCUGUUCUGGCCCACGCGCAGCAGCCUAAUUGAUUUAGCAGUUUCUUCAACGAUCAAUCAAACAGACAAACAGGACCCUUCCUUAGCUCUGAGCCAUCUGUAUUUCUUUACUCCUCCAAGCCUCUCUCCAAAAGCAGGGCAAAAAAGUGCUCUGAAGGUGAGGGGAUGAAGAUGUGUCGUUGAAUUAUAGAACUAUGGGAUCACAGGAUCGUGGAAUUAUGAAACCAUAGAACUUUAGAAUGGUUGGGUUAGAAGAGACAUCGAACAUCACAGAACCAUAAAAUGGUUGGGUUGGAAGGGACCUUGAAGAACACAGAGCAAUAGAAUAGUUGGAUUGUCAGGGACAUUGAUGUUUACUCAACCAUAGGAUGACUGUGUUAGUAGGGACUUUGAAGAUGGCAGAACUGUGGAAUGUUUGGAUUGGAAAGGACCUUGGGGAUCAUAGAACCAUAGAAUGUUUGGGUUGGAAGGGUCCUUGAAGAUCACAAAACCACAGAACCAUGUAUUGGUUGGGUUGGAAGGGACCUUCCAGCCUUCCACCCCUACAGGCUGUGGGCUGGUUGCCCUCUCACCAGCUCAAGCCGCCCAGGGCCCCAUUCAUCACACAGGACACCUCCACUGAUGGAGGAGCACCCACACUUCCCAGCAGUGCCAAGGUCUCACCUCUCUCCAUUUGGGAGACGCAUGCUGGCAGCUGAGGUUAUUUUCAAGCAGCAGAAGAGCCCAGAGAGAGGAGUGCUCAGGUGCUUUCCAGGUCCUCACAUCAGGUGGAGAGCUGAAAAUCUAAGGAAAACUGUCACAGAAUACCGUGGGCUUGUGGUUAUGGAAAUAGAAGUUGCAAACAGAACCUCUGAGUUUUCCCAAGCAAAUAGAAAAGAACCUGAUGUGCUUCUGAGCAAUGCACCCUCUGGCAGCCCUGAGCUGAAAGCAUCGCUAGCUGAGCGCUCACCCUUUGGCUUUCUGCAGAGGGGAGGAAGGUGGAUUGUUUUCCAGCAAUGAAAUUUCCUAUUGAAAAAUGGAAUGCUUCCUCAUCGUGCUUGUGAAUGGGACGCCCGCGACGCUGAGCACACUGCUUCCAAUUACGGGCACUGCAAGGCCAAGCACUGCAGCCAGGCAGGAAUGUGUACCUUUUCAUAUACUCUGAAAAGAUAAAACCUUUUUAUUUUCCUCAACUCCCCCCACCCCCCUUUUUUUUCUUACUUUAAAUGUAUGUAAUGUAUUAAAAGCAGG